AGGGAUGUGUCGUCGUCAUUCUCAUCACUGGGUCACAAUACCUGGCACCACAACUUAAGGUUUUCCAGCAGUGGGUAGCAGCCAAAGAAAAAUUCUAAUGGCCAACACAGGCUGGAUCCUGGGGAGACAGAUCAGAAGGGAGAACCUCAGUGCACAGAGAGACCAAGACUAUACUGGACAGGGGUUGUGAGGACUGAAUACAAGAAUGGUUUGAAGGCGGAAUGCGGUGGCACACACGGGUAAUCCCAGCACUCAGGAGGCUGAGGCAGGAGGAUCACUACGAGUUCGCAGCCAGGUUGGGC